rnacentral:rRNA from 1 species
GCGAUGUUUGUGCAGGACGUAAAUGCGUCUCGGAAAGGGCCCUUAAAUCAGGGGUUCGAAGUGCAGGAGCUACGGAGCCGAAAAUCGGACCGCGGCCGCCGGGUGUUUGCCACCAGUUGGGGGUCCGCACCGGCGCC